rnacentral:rRNA from 1 species
UACGUAGGGGGCAAGCGUUGUCCGGAAUCAUUGGGCGUAAAGAGCGUGUAGGCGGCCCGGUAAGUCCGCUGUGAAAGUCCAGGGCUCAACCCUGGGAUGCCGGUGGAUACUGUCGGGCUCGAGUCCGGAAGAGGAGUGUGGAAUUCCGUGGUGUAGCGGUGAAAUGCGCAGAUAUCAGGAGGAACACCAAUGGCGAAGGCAGCACUCUGGGACGUGACUGACGCUGAGACG